UAUAUUUCUUAUCUUUCUUGAAUACAAACCAUCUUUUCCCCAUAAUGUAACAUUUGGACUCUUUAUAGCAGAAAAUUUGGCCAUGCGAUUUGUUAGAAAUAUUUACGGCCAUAUUUAUAUUAUUAAUAUUUCUCCUGGUACUUAUAUGCAUAUUAGAUGCAUAUGAAUUAGUCUACCGUUGGAACAAAAAUUACAUUUGUCACAUGUUACAGACCAAAUAUAUUUACUUAUUUUUUCUUUAAUAUACUGCUUUUAUUUUAUGAAAAGUACAAGUAAAUUAAACCAUGACAAUGUCAGUGGACUUCUCAUAAAAUGUCAUGUUAAACUAAUAUUCAGAAACUUUGUAGGAGUUUAUAGGUAUCAUAAGAGUUACACUGAUGGGAAUACUGCUGUGACAAGAUGAGAUACUUUGUAAAGGGUAUGACUGUUUUUGAAUUGUAUUAUUUUUAUUGCAGGUCUUUUGGGAGCGCAGUUGAACACAUCAAGGACUUACAGAUGUUGGCUGUAACCUGUCAGCCUGCAUAGAUGUCUAUUCCAGUCAUACCUACACCACACCAGGCUUCUUUCUGCCAUGUCUGGAUGGUUGACUACUGUAGCACAAAGUUCGCUUCAGAAUUAGAUGUAUAGAAACAUAAAAAAGGGACAUAACUAACUGAAUACUGCAAAAGCAAAGAACUUGCCUUACUUCAGAAAUACAUGCUAAUUGCAAAGGAAAACUAUUUAUCCACUAUAUUUCUUUGUGCUCUAUUUUCAAGAGUAACAUUUCUUUAUAAUUUUAAAAAUCCUGUCAUCUACUAACACUGAUGUUGUGCACACCUGUAUGUCUUUCUUUUGUGGAACACUAAAGGAGAUCUCUGUUCACCGCCCUGUUCUUCCUCUCUGUGACCUCCACAUCGUGUGCUAACUCGGGGCCUCAUGUUAACGUACCAUCUUUGGGAUGUUUAUCCUCUUCUAAUGACCGACCUAUAACCAUGCAUAAGUCUAUGGUAUCCUGCAGUGUAAUAAACAAAGAACAGCACUUUUACUUCGUGUCUGGCUGAGUUACAUCAACUUUCCUGAGAAACCCGUGAGGAUAUAGCCAGAUCCUUACACUCUGCUCGGGGUAUGGCUUGGACAGACCAAUAAGGUGAGAGCUACCCGAUUAUUUAAGGACCCUUAUUUUGGUAGGCGCAUAUGUGUCUUGGUGAUUCGCAGUUCCUCACUCCCUGGAAUUUCCGGUUCCCAUUUCCAUUCAGAGUGGCACUGGUGGUGCGUGCGUUGUGGCGAAUUGGCGGCGGAGAUUGCGUUCAGUGAUCACAACAUUAUCCGGUGACUGAAUGAUAUGUAUAUCGAGCCGCGGUACCCGAGAGUAAUCAUACAACUUCGCGUCUGGUGUUUGUUCAACCCAAUGGUGAGAGUGGGGAGUUGAGCAUCUAAGUGUUCUCCAAGACAAAUCCCUAGCCGAAGACGCUACAUGUGAUGCCGCUGCUGUUUUGCUUCACCUGAUUCGCUUUGCUGGUCGUUUUCUUGAUCUGUUUUGCUUUAUGGUUUUAUUCAUUGUUCUACUUAUUGUUUUGCUCUACUGUCAUUUACUUUGUUUUAAUUAUUGUCUUGCUUUGUCUAGUAUUGUUCAUUGUGCUAAUAUAUGUUUGCUUCUAUUGUUGUUUUUGUACUUUAGUUUUGGAUGUAUUUUUGGUUUGUUUCGCAACCACAGGUAGUGUGAGAGGCUAAUUAGUAAAUUGGUGUUUUCCAGCCUCAAACCUGUUCUUUCAGCUUUUAUAUAUAGUAACCACCUUACUAUUGGUGGGGUAUAUGCUAUGCCUUAUUGUCUCCAUGCUACAGUGGCUAUAUUUUCCAUUUUGUAUUGUUUACCAUAAUUCUGGUUCUGCUUAGGUGCUGUUAACUGCCUCCAAUUCAUGUGCUGUCAAUGGGCCUGGGUGUUAUAGCCACCACACCUUGGUGUCUGUAAUAUUUGUUUCUCAUUGUUUAGUGUUUGUGUAAUUUUGGGUUAACCAGUCUUUUCUUUCUCUUAAGGAGCCAGUGAGUCUUGGUGGGACAGGGGAGGCCAGCUGAAUUUAUUCGGUGGUGUGUGCUUCACAGCGUGCUCAGUGUGCCAACACAAUAACUUCCUUCUGGUGUAGGUAGUGUUUGGUGAUUUUUGGUGUGACCUGAGGUGGGUUUGGAUGACCUGCCGAGCUGUAGCUGGCCUGCCUUGUUCUAGCCAAGCCUGGGUCUGGAGAAGUGCUUAGUUUUAAAAUCCUUAUUGUGCUUCAUGGGAGAGUGAUUUAUUAUUUUUUUAAAAUAUGUAUUUAUUUAUUAAUAUUUACAUGUUAAGUUUUAAUGAUGCUUAAGUGUCAUAAUAAAAUUUUUAUGUACGUUCUCA